rnacentral:rRNA from 1 species
AGGACGAACGCUGGCGGCGUGCUUAACACAUGCAAGUCGAACGGAAAGGCCCGCUUGCGGGUACUCGAGUGGCGAACGGGUGAGUAACACGUGGGCAACCUGCCCUCAGCUCUGGGAUAACUCCGGGAAACCGGUGCUAAUACUGGAUAUCGACUUCUGCCUCGCAUGGGGUGUUGUUGAAAGUUUUUCGGCUGGGGAUGGGCCCGCGGCCUAUCAGCUUGUUGGUGAGGUAAUGGCUUACCAAGGCGACGACGGGUAGCCGGCCUGAGAGGGUGACCGGCCACACUGGGACUGAGACACGGCCCAGACUCCUACGGGAGGCAGCAGUGGGGAAUAUUGCACAAUGGGCGCAAGCCUGAUGCAGCGACGCCGCGUGAGGGAUGAAGGCCUUCGGGUUGUAAACCUCUUUCAGUAGGGAACAGGCCGGCUUUUGGUUGGUUGAGGGUACCUGCAGAAGAAGCGCCGGCUAACUACGUGCCAGCAGCCGCGGU